AGUUGAUCCUGGCUCAGGACGAACGCUGGCGGCGUGCCUAAUACAUGCAAGUCGAGCGGACAGAUGGGAGCUUGCUCCCUGAUGUUAGCGGCGGACGGGUGAGUAACACGUGGGUAACCUGCCYGUAAGACUGGGAUAACUCCGGGAAACCGGGGCUAAUACCGGAUGGUUGUUUGAACCGCAUGGUUCAAACAUAAAAGGUGGCUUCGGCUACCACUUACAGAUGGACCCGCGGCGCAUUAGCUAGUUGGUGAGGUAACGGCUCACCAAGGCRACGAUGCGUAGCCGACCUGAGAGGGUGAUCGGCCACACUGGGACUGAGACACGGCCCAGACUCCUACGGGAGGCAGCAGUAGGGAAUCUUCCGCAAUGGACGAAAGUCUGACGGAGCAACGCCGCGUGAGUGAUGAAGGUUUUCGGAUCGUAAAGCUCUGUUGUUAGGGAAGAACAAGUACCGUUCGAAUAGGGCGGUACCUUGACGGUACCUAACCAGAAAGCCACGGCUAACUACGUGCCAGCAGCCGCGGUAAUACGUAGGUGGCAAGCGUUGUCCGGGAAUUAUUGGGCGUAAAGGGCUCGCAGGCGGUUUCUUAAGUCUGAUGUGAAAGCCCCCGGCUCAACCGGGGAGGGUCAUUGGAAACUGGGGAACUUGAGUGCAGAAGAGGAGAGUGGAAUUCCACGUGUAGCGGUGAAAUGCGUAGAGAUGUGGAGGAACACCAGUGGCGAAGGCGACUCUCUGGUCUGUAACUGACGCUGAGGAGCGAAAGCGUGGGGAGCGAACAGGAUUAGAUACCCUGGUAGUCCACGCCGUAAACGAUGAGUGCUAAGUGUUAGGGGGUUUCCGCCCCUUAGUGCUGCAGCUAACGCAUUAAGCACUCCGCCUGGGGAGUACGGUCGCAAGACUGAAACUCAAAGGAAUUGACGGGGGCCCGCACAAGCGGUGGAGCAUGUGGUUUAAUUCGAAGCAACGCGAAGAACCUUACCAGGUCUUGACAUCCUCUGACAAUCCUAGAGAUAGGACGUCCCCUUCGGGGGCAGAGUGACAGGUGGUGCAUGGUUGUCGUCAGCUCGUGUCGUGAGAUGUUGGGUUAAGUCCCGCAACGAGCGCAACCCUUGAUCUUAGUUGCCAGCAUUCAGUUGGGCACUCUAAGGUGACUGCCGGUGACAAACCGGAGGAAGGUGGGGAUGACGUCAAAUCAUCAUGCCCCUUAUGACCUGGGCUACACACGUGCUACAAUGGACAGAACAAAGGGCAGCGAAACCGCGAGGUUAAGCCAAUCCCACAAAUCUGUUCUCAGUUCGGAUCGCAGUCUGCAACUCGACUGCGUGAAGCUGGAAUCGCUAGUAAUCGCGGAUC
rnacentral:rRNA from 1 species